CCCUUACAAUAUCCAAGAUGGCUCACUGCUACAGAAUCUUGGGAGGUUUAGUUUGGUAUGGUACCAUUAUUGGCAGAGAAAGCCAAGCUGUAGGAGUUGAAAUCCAAUCAUUUAUCCUCCCUAUAUAAUCAAUUUUAUAUGCAUUUUUAGCUACAGAAAAGCUAAACUCAGGACAGUAAAAGAACAACACCCAGAAAAUGGGAAUUCCAGACAGGAAACAAUCAGGGUCAGCUAAUACCUCCCAACAAAGGAUUCCCCCAGGUAGGAAGCAGCCAGGCUUUGAAGCUGCAAGGCUAUUCAAUGCUAAUCAAGGUGACCAAUUGCAACAUUCACACUUGCCUCCCACAGACAAGAGUUCUUUCUCCCACCCUGGACCUUCCACAGAUAUAUAAACCCCACUUGCCUAGCUUCGCACAGACGUCAAAACCUCUGAGUAUGUCUGCCACAGAUGUGGGUGAAAUGUCAGGAGAGAAUGCUUCUGGCACAUGGCCAUAGAGCCCGGAAUACAUACCACAACAGUGUGAUCCCGGCCAUGAAAGCUUUCGACAACACAACCACAGUAUCCAUUCAAGUUCAUGUAGCGUGAGGCAACCAGAGCAACAUGGCAGGGCCGAAGCAAGGGGGCAGACUUGAGGAGGAGAAGCAGCAGCAAUAGGCAAGGGCUUAAAAUCAAUGCCAUCUGAUUGAUCACUAAAGAAAAGAGAUAAGCUAAAGAGAUUAACGACAUGUCAUCAACACUUCUACUUAUAAGCUGAAAUAUGAAAAAAGAGUCAGAAAAUAACAAGAACAGAAAAGCAGCUGUCUGAAAAUCAAAUUUAUUUGUGAAUUAUCUGGUGUCUUUGUCACUCUACUGCAUUGAAAACCAGGAUGAAGCAUGCUCUUACUGGUAACAGUAUUUUGACAUGCAGUUUUCUUGUUGAGUUUACAAACAAGUGAAUAGAAAAUAUGUCAUUAAGAUUUUGCAACAUGAUCUCUGUACUAAUUGUCCUUCAUAAAUACUAGCAGCAUGUUGAAAUUGGCAUAUUAAAGGUAUGUCUCAGAGUAUUAACAAAUGUACCUCAAUAAUCAUGUUAUUAUCUUUAUUGUGCCAUUGAAUAUUUAGUAAGAAUCAAUCAAAUCAAUUGUCUAAUGGAUGUGGACUAUACAGCCUGUAUAGGUCUUUCCUGUUGUAAAUGCAUAUGAUUGCUACUUGGACUCUACAGGUGCCUGUUUUGACGAGAAGUCCUUUAAGUAGGAGCACCUUGCCAAUAUAAGGAUGUCUAAUCUGGUUUCUAUACUAUCUCUUUCACAGAGGUCUUAAAUCAUAAUUUUCUGCUGCUUUUCCAUCGGUUUUCCAUUCUGCAGCACUUAUUUUCUGUUGCUGAUUUUAUCUUGGUUUUAUUGUAUGCCAUCUUUAGCCAUCAUUUUAUUUUUGUGUGUAUAGGUGUAGCGAAAUGCGUAAUUAUAUGGGAGAUUUAGAACUUGUUGUAAUAGUUAAGACAUAGCUUACCUUGCAGGGUUGGUGUGUGAACUGCCAUUUUGUAGCACUCGGAAUCUGACAUCAAGAGAAGAGCUGAUUUACAUAGCAGCGACCUGAUUGGUCAUAUGUAAAUGCACGUGUGCCAGAGUUCAAAAGUGCAGUUGGCAGUUGGCAGUUAGGAAAGCAGCUGAACAUUCUAAAGCAGUUAGAUGGGAAAAGCUACCUGUUAGGACAGGAUAGUGAGUUGUGGUCAGUGAAGAUAGGUUACGAAAUGUGUUAACAGAAGAUAUUUGCUGGAAUAAUUAAUAUAAUGAGUUGAGAAUAGCCCCUGCGAAGUAAAAGUGUUCCUUGUUGUGUUUGCAAGACUGUGUGAGAGGAAAUAGUACUGUAACAUUGUAUUUUCAACUAAGAAAGCAAAACUCCAAUGUAACCAACACGCUUCUGUGCCGGACAACAAUAAAAUAAACUUUGUUACUGUUUCAUUCAAGCAAAAGACUGUGACUCUAAAACACUGGGUGAGAGUUAAACAGAAGUUUUUCCUUUGAGUGUGAAGAAACCUCUGUGAAGAGGAUCCCACAGAUUAAUCUCUGUGAAGAGGGACCUCCAUAUAUCUAUUAGUGGCAGUGAUUGGGAUGACAAGAUUAUCCUCUGCCUGAAGUUGAAGAGGCACGUCUUCACAAUAGGUAAUCAGAAAGUGCAAUAAAUACAUACGUAAACACAUUGUUUUGCUGCUUUCAGCAUGACAUACAACUAAAACAACUGCAAAUAAAAUAUGGAAGCAACAUGCAACAAUAAUACAGAUCUUUAUGUGUGUCUGUCUGUCAGUAUGGCAUCUCUGCAUACAUGUAUGUGUGAUCACUUUGCUUAUACUUGUUGCAAUGAUGUGUGAUGCCACCAUUUAGAAAAACAACAAUCUAGAAUUAUAUGCAUAAAUAUUAGUUCAACAUAACCAUCUCAUCCUCAGGCUUAUUUAAACUGGCUAAGUAGAACAAUUCAUAAUAAGCAAUAAGUUUGCAAAUUUUGAAAGAAUGAUAUACAGGUGAAAUCUACAAAUUGAUUUGUAUGUAGACAUUUGGUCAGCUUUUUUAGAAUAGUGCGACUAUUAUGAUUAUUUUCCCUCUUUUUGUGUUUUUAUUUCCAUUCAUUUGUUAUACUUUUG